rnacentral:lncRNA from 1 species
UAUGAGGACGUUACUGAAAGCAAAGGAUUCUCAUGGAAAAGGGGUGACAGCUUAAUCACCCAACCAACCAAACAAGGUAGGUAAGCUUGCGGACAGGAGCAGGUGACUUACUGGCUGCAGAAACCUCAGUCUCAAGAGCACCACAGUUGCAGGGGAGAGGGCUAAGGUUGGGAGGGUAAACUGGUGAAAUUUACACACACAUGAUCUAAAGAGAAUUCAAUUCUAUGGAGAGGAAGAAGGAGUAAAGACACACACUCAAAAUUACAGAGAUGGAGAGGAAGCAGGGAGAUAGAUAGGUUCAAAGGAGGAGAGAGAUACAGAGACAGACACACAGAGAGACUGGAAAACAGACAACUGAAGAGCAGAGAGAGAGAAAGAAAAUGACAGAGGGAAAAAUAGAAGAUCAAUUCAACAGCACGGCCUCUUCUGCCCACCACCCGCUGCCCCCGACCAUCUUUCUCAGGAUCCUAUCUGGCUGGCAAUCACCCAACACACCAUUCUCUACCUUGGAGUGAGCGUGAGAUGAGGCAGGAAUUCUCUGAUGUAUCCUUGCCCCCAUCUUCAUAGGCUUCAUAAGUGAAGGGAUUCAGGGAUAUCCAGAGUCAUGCUGAUCUUAAGCAAUGCUGAACCUUUCGGGGCUGACUGCAGGACCAAGUGCUUGCAAACCUGCAUCUUCACCACACGCACUGAUGCCCCUCAUCCCUUCGCACCUCCAAGAUGAAGAAGGUUUCUGUGCUGUCCGGUGUGUGUGAGGCUGAGCUUCCUGCUGGAUCCACCACUUUCACACCCAGAACCCCCUAACUAACUUCACAUGCCCUGCACGUUCCACACAGGCACCCCGAUUUGUCUCAACAGCCUCGAGGCCACAUUCUUGGACAGGAGAUCUGCCAUGAACAGUGAAAGACCCAUCCCAAGUGGCCCUGUUUUCUUUCUAGUAAAGCAAGGGAAUGUAUAUCCCCUGGCAUGGAAUUCACCGCGACCAAAAACCAUGUUUUUGAGACCAGCCUCUUCAAAGAUGGACGGCGUGGGACAUAUGCCCAAGUUGCGGGGGGAGCUUCUCUACAGAAUGUCACUUGGGAGUUGACACAAAACCCAGGGGGAGAAAAAAGACCCAGCAAAUACUACAAACUGCCCUCUCCCUCCCCCACCCACAGGUGACCAACGGCUUUGGGGAGGAUGGCAAUGCAAUGGAGGAAUAGAAAUGGAUACAUUGUGAACUUGAUAUGAAUCAAAAGAGCCUGGUUCUUUGAACCUGAUUCAAAUUCUAUGCCCAGUAUCCUUAGUUUACAAAUAAAGAAGUACUCUGAAGGGCUCAGAGGAUUUGCGUCCGUGUGUUUGUCCUUGGCAUGUAGUUACAAAGGUAUAUGUGGUCUGUUAGCCCACAUGUUCCCUUUCAGUCCUUGUCAGCCACUUCCUUGGCCUGUCCAUGAUCUGAGCCAGCUCUGGCCCAGCCUUUGAGAGACAAUGACUCACAACCAUGCCUCCCACAGCUGACGGCGGCACUGGACUGCCUGUGAUCGCGCUCACAGCAAGAUGUGCUGCUCCAGUUUCGAUGACACGCUUCCUCCCAUGGAUCCAUGGAUGCGAUCCAUGGAUGCUCCACCUGAGUUGCACUUUUCUUCCAUAGUCUGCAAUAUUGAAUAUUGGAGCCAUGUGGAUUUUACAAUAUCCAAAUUGCUUUGAUUCGAGAGAGAGAGAGAGAGAGAGGCUGUUCUUUCCUGGACGCUCUCAGACGCUCAGUGAUUCAGAACUCGUUUUUGUUUCAAGUCUUAAAAAUCUUGCCAUGCAUGAUAAACCUCUUAAGCAAGACACUGUACUCUGGAAUGUGUGCAUCAAUGCGGACUCUAGGCCUUGCCGCCGAGCCGGGGUCAUUGGCUGAGGCUCUAUGGAUAGUGUCAUCCUUAUUUUGUCCUGCUGCUUUGUUUCUCUUCCGGGGGCACCGUUGCUACACAUCCUGGAAUUAAAGGCUGAAAGCAAUGAUAGGCCACUUGAAUUUGGGGUCUUGGUGGAUGGAGACUACCUUCUCAUCCAAAGAUGUGGCCAUCAAGGAGAAGUCUUUCCCAUCGUAAAUAUCCAAGGGUGUGACUGAGCCAUCACUGAACUGGACCCAGCAACUGAUGGCUGCUUCCUAUGGAGAAAAAUAUGUAAGUUAAUCAAAUGGGCCAAAAAGCUCAUUGAGCCCCAAGUCUUAGUA